rnacentral:rRNA from 1 species
UGAGGAAUAUUGGUCAAUGGACGAGAGUCUGAACCAGCCAAGUAGCGUGCAGGAUGACGGCCCUAUGGGUUGUAAACUGCUUUUGUUUGGGAAUAAUCGACAUUACGUGUAAUGUUUUGCAUGUACUAUUCGAAUAAGGACCGGCUAAUUCCGUGCCAGCAGCCGCGGUAAUACGGAAGGUCCAGGCGUUAUCCGGAUUUAUUGGGUUUAAAGGGAGCGUAGGCGGUUGGUUAAGCGUGUUGUGAAAUGUAGAUGCUCAACAUCUGACUUGCAGCGCGAACUGGCUGACUUGAGUACACACAACGUAGGCGGAAUUCAUGGUGUAGCGGUGAAAUGCUUAGAUAUCAUGAAGAACUCCGAUUGCGAAGGCAGCUUACGGGAGUGUUACUGACGCUUAAGCUCGAAGGUGCGGGUAUCGAACAGG